rnacentral:lncRNA from 1 species
GUAAAUAUUUAUUGAGCCUAUACCCUGUGCUAGGUACGUGCAGCAAAGAACAGAGUAGGCGCGGGGUGGGGAAGGGGCGGGAGGAAGCGAGGGGGGUUGGGCAAAGCCGGGCCGAGUGCCUGCGAGCGCCUCCUGUUCUGGUCCCAUAAAUCAGGAGCUGAGAGGAGCACUCUGUCUCCUGAUUUUAUUCUCUACGGAGGAGACCUGCUGCUGUGUCUCUCCCUUCGAAGCCAAGCUGAUCAGUAAGAGGUCUAGCCGUGAACCGGAAACUGUGGUGGUUUCGAUGGUCCGAGUGGAAAAAAUUACUUUUGCUCAUGCAGGAUUUGGGGCCUGGGGCAGGAGAGAGGCCCAGAGCCGCUACCCAGGAAGUGACUCAGGAGCAUGGAAUGCCAUCUUCCACUACCCAACAUUCAGCUUUGGGAGAGGCAGACACCAAGAUGUCUGCCAAGCAGCACCCCACUAUCCAGCCAGAGCAGCAGAAUAAAUCCUGGUAACCAGUGAGGGCUUCUCAGUUGCAAAUAUGGAGUUCCUUUGUGGGGAAACCAUCCUGCCAGGUGAAGAAAUGAAGCUGGCAUAAUGCUAUGGGGACCCGGAAACCACGGAUAGAAGUAAGUUCCUCUCCUCCUCUGGUCUCCUUCUAAGAUCUCCGUUGGCAGAGGUAACUGGGAUUCAGCUGCAAAGUAGAGACCCAGGCCUGACUCCCCAAAGUGUGCAGAAGAAUAGUUUUGAUGUCAACAGACACCAACUUAAUAACUGGCGUCCCUACUCUCUUCUCUUUAUUUCUUGAUUACAUGUCCGUAUGUGAGUGGUUUUCAUGCAAUAUCUGCUCUCUCUCAGCUCCAUUCAUUUUCUCAAAUUUAUGAAAUUUGGCUUUGUUAUCAUCAUGCUACUGUACUUUUUGAAAAAGGCCUUCCAAUGACCAAAUCCCGCGGGCCUGUUUCUGUGCUUGUUUCACGUGGCCUGCCCAUUGAGGCAUGUGACAUUGUGGAUCUGUUCUCUUAAAUGACAAAUGCUAUCCACACUACUUCAUAAAUGGAAUAUGUGUUCAUUCAAAGUGUCAACUACAAAUAUAAAGCAACAUCACUGUUUAAUUGUGAAUUCACCCAGCACACAGCAAACACCCUCAGACAAAGCCAUUUAUUUAUAGUAUAGUAACCUGGUAUCGGAGGGAUUGUGGGCAGGAGGAGAAGGGGAUGACAGAGGAUGAGAUGGCUGGAUGGCAUCACCGACUCGACGGACGUGAGUUUGAGUGAACUCCGGGAGAUGGUGAUGGACAGGGAGGCCUGGUGUGCUGCAAUUCAUGGGGUUGCAAAGAGUUGGACAUGACUGAGCGACUGAACUGACUGAACUGAACUUGGUAUCAGAAAUCAUAUCUGUAUUCAAGGUUGAUUAAGUUAGGUCAUAUUUGGAAUUUCUUUAAAAGUUAAUUUCUCUUUAUUACUUAUUUAUUCAGCACGUACAUAUCAAGGACCUUCCCAUGCCAGAGUCUUUUCUAG